AAUUUAGGCACAAAGGGGAGCAGAUCUUUAUGCAGCGCAAAGAGAAGGGGCCUGCUGCGUAAAUAUUCCAUCCUUGGCGCAUCUGGAUGGAGUCGGGUCUCCAAUUGGGCGAAUGCGCGGACCCUUCCGCCCCUUUUGUUUUACAUGGCGCCGUUUCAAAAAAAUUAAGGCAUUUAAACCAUUUUUUUUCUGCAUCAUCCCCAAAACACAGCCCCCUUUCGCAGCCGAAAAUCACAGCCUGGGAACUAAUUUUUUAGGGUUUCUUUUUAGCAUUCGAAUCACCAUUGUUUUGGGGACCAUUUGCAUGUAAAGACCACCCAUUCUCCUCGUUGAAGGCAGUUGAACAAGUUUUUAAAAAAGACUUGGCUCCUUUCAUCGCGCAACCACUAACCUUCAUCAGUUUGAUGGCUAAUAGUGCGGAUGAUGAUCGGGUUUUAUCAACGGAGAUUCCAAUUUUAGAAAUCCAGUAUGAUGCAACGACUGUAUGGAGAAAGUCACUCGUGAAAGCUAUGAGAAAUCGUCUCUCUGGUGCACUUCUAGUAUAUUCCAGGAGCUGCUGCUGAAAUUCCCUUUUCUACUGGGCUCUUUCAGAUUUGGGCUAGACUUUAGGUUUAUUAGGAUUGGGCUUUUAAUUUUAUGUAAAGGUUUUUGGGGUAAUAAUAUGUUUGGGCUACUUUUUAUUAUUUUGGGUCUGAUGAUGAUCAUAAAUAUUUUAAUUUAUUUGGGUUAUUUACAUAAGUUAAAUGGGCCCGGGCAAAAUUGGUUGAGUACAUAAUUAAUUGAAUAUUUCAUA